UACGUAGGGUGCGAGCGUUAAUCGGAAUUACUGGGCGUAAAGCGUGCGCAGGCGGUUUUGUAAGCCGGAUGUGAAAUCCCCGGGCUUAACCUGGGAAUGGCAUUCGGGACUGCAAGGCUGGAGUGCGGCAGAGGAGACUGGAAUUCCUGGUGUAGCAGAGAAAUGCGUAGAUAUCAGGAGGAACACCGAUGGCGAAGGCAGCACUCUGGGACGUGACUGACGCUGAGACGCGAAAGCGUGGGGAGCAAACAGG
rnacentral:rRNA from 1 species